rnacentral:lncRNA from 1 species
UGGAAGAACAGCACAAAAUGGAAAUCUGAAUUUUUGUUGAACGCACCCCCGUGAGGAUCAGCUCUGGAUGGAAAGUCAGGUUACUGUCAAAGGGAACAUCUCCUCCACCUUUAGAAUGCUGGAAGAAGAUAGAGAUUUACAUCCUGUAAUAUUUCAUGUGAUUUCUUGUACCAGUUAGACUGUGAUUUUGAGCUAAAAUAAACUUUGGUUAUGUCAAACUACUUAACUAAGG